AAAGCAAGAAAGAAAGAAAGAAACCGCAAAUCUUCUGUCGUUUUAGCUACACAAACGGCAAACCUAAAAAAAAUCAAGAAAACGACACGUCGUUCUCCUUCCCCGCAUAAUCAUCCCCAUUUCCCAGUGUGGCAGUUAAAAAGCCAAGAGCGCGUUGUGGCAUUGAAUGUAUGCGUCCAUACCAUACCGCGAAACCCAACCGCUGACCGUCGCUCCGGCAAUGUGGCCGGAACUCCAAUAAUCUCCGUCGUCCCACUUCUACCCCCGACAAUGCCUCACGCCAAAACCUCCCAAUCGCAGCAGAACAUAAAGCAGAGGGUACUCACGUGCCUAACGAAGCUCUCAGACCGCGACACACAAGCCGCUGGAGCCACCGAGCUCGAGUCCAUCGCGCGUACCAUAGACCCACACUCGGUUCCAGUGUUCCUCUCUUGCAUCCACUCCACCGACUCCUCCGACAAAACCCCCGUCCGCAAGCAAUGCGUGCACCUCGUCGCCACCCUCUCCCACGCGCACGGCGACGCGCUCUCGCCGUUUCUGUCCAAAAUCAUCGCCUGCCUCGUCCGCCGCCUCCGCGACCCGGACUCCUCGGUCCGGGCCGCGUGCGCCGACUCCGUCGGCGCACUCUCGGCGUGCGUCACGAGGCAGCCUUUCGCCGCCGCGUUCCUCAAGCCGCUCGCGGAGGCGCUUUUCACGGAGCAGGACCCGAGCUCGCAGGCUGGAGCCGCGCUAUGUCUGGCCUCCGCGGUUGAAGCGGCUCCGGAUCCGGACCCUGCCAGGCUUGCGAGGCUGCUUCCGAGGCUUGAGAGGCUGAUCAAGAGCAAGGUGUUUAGGGCUAAGCCUGCACUGCUGGUGCUUGUUGGAAGCGUCGUCGAGGCGCGCGGCGCCUCUAGUGGCGUCGCGUUGAAGAAUUUGGUUCCUUGCCUUGUGGAGGCUCUGGGGAGUGAGGACUGGGCCACCAGGAAGGGCGCGGCGGAGGCGUUGAAGAAGCUCGCGAGCGUGGAGAAGGACCUCUUGCCGGAGUUCAAGGGUGGAUGCUUGAAGGUUUUCGAGAAUCGGCGAUUUGAUAAGGUAAAGUUGGUUCGGGAGGUUAUGAAUGAGAUGUUGGAGGCAUGGAAGCAGAUUCCUGAUGUUUCGGAUGAAUUCUCUCCACCUCCUCAAUCGCAGUUGUCUUCAAAGGAGAAUGCAAGUGAUGGGCGCUAUCCUCCUGUCUCUCAAAAUUCAUGUAGUCCGGGUUCUGUAAUGAGUAAAUUGAGGAAGAAGUCGAGCCAAGUUAGCAAAUCAACUCCACCAGAUACAUCUGCUGUUAGGAAUGCUAAAAGGAGUGCAUUAAGUGGCGAUCGGAUGAGUUCAGGUGUUCUGCAGAAACUGAACCAUAACCAUUGGGAUGUUCGAAUUGCUGUGUCAAAUGUUUCUGAUUGUGGUGAACGUCAGCAGAAGGAUGAAGAUGUUUUGGAAAGAAGAAAAAAGGAUAGAAGCAGAUUUUUUAAGCCGGAAACAAAACGGGCUCUAUUCGAUAAAAAUUCUGAUGACAAGAUGCAUAAAUUUGGUGGGUCCAAAGCUGGAUCUCGUGUGGUUCCUUGUUCUGAAGAGAGUCAAGACUCAGAUCCUGUCUGUAAUGUAACUAAGGAUCUACAUAGGAAUGACAAAGAGAGUGAGGAAUUAUCUUUGAUUCGUGCUCAAUUAGUUCAAAUUGAGAAGCAGCAGUCUAGUCUGCUUGAUCUUGUACAGAAAUUCAUGGGGAGCUCUGAAAAUGGAAUGCGUACUUUAGAGACUCGUGUGCAUGGCCUUGAGUUGGCAUUGGAUGAGAUCUCUUAUGAUUUGGCUGUAUCAAGUGGAAGGAUAACUAAGUUUGAUGCUCCUAAGCAUACUUGUUGCAUGCUGCCUGGUGCUGAAUUUUUAAGCUCCAAAUUCUGGAAGAAAACACAGGGCCGAUAUUCAUCGUACCGGUUCUCUAGAACUGGUAGCACUCCAUUACUACCUUCCAGUCAUUACAGAGCUAACAGGAAUGCCGAAUCUAAUAGGUCGACAAGCCACAGACUUGGGGUCCACGGUGAUGGAGGCUUCACCACUAAUCCUCUGGCAGAGAUUAAAAUUAAUUCAAGGGAGAUUUCAGGCUCUGCCAGAUCAGAGCUAGCUUGAAAAGCAGGUAUAGCACAAGAAUUUUCUAGACUCGUUACUUCCUUUAGAACUUGCAUGCCAAAUUUUGAGGAAAACAUGGCCAACAUUCAUCUUCCUAACUCUCUGUCUGGUGGCACACCAUAACUACAUGUCAUUCGCUAUAGAUGUCAGGAAUGCUGAAACUAAGCUCACAAGUAUAGAUUAAGGGUACAUGAUGAUGGAGAGCUUCAUCACUAAAAUUCAGAUUAAUACUAAUUCAAGACAGAUAUCAUUCCUUUCGAGGACAGAACCUAUUUAAAAAAUCAAAGUUUGAUCUUCUGAUUAUCAACUUGCAUGGUGGGAAAUCCCUCUUCCUGAGAAGUGUGGCAAUGAUGUAAUCAGAAUAUAUACUUUUUAUGCCAGGAAAUAUCGUAUAUUUGGAAAAUACCCAGUAGUACUCUACUCUCUUGGAAGAAGGAGAAGCUGGCUAUAAUACAUUCUAGGUUGUGCUCAGAACAUUAUUUGGGUUGCUACGCUGACUGUGAGGCAGGAACAUAUUGCAGUGAGUAUAGGGCUAAAUAUUACUAUUUUCAGUAGAGGGUGAAUCUGUACAUAGGAGAAACAAUGUAACACAGGCUGCUUACUUUGUGUUUGGAAAUACGUUUGAAAGACGAAAAAUCACGACAGAUGGGAUAAAGAUGCACAAGCUACAACUAGAAAACUUCAAUCCGGAUGUGUAAAAUUGCAUCAUGUAUGGCUGCAAACGCGUGAUAUGUUGAUGAUUAAGUGCAUGUUUGUUUCUCCAUUGCGUCAGGUCCAAUCUGCAUCAUAUAGAAGCUAAUACGAGUAGCUUUUGCAUGUUAGAUGUGGUUUUUGCAUAAUAAUGCGAGUAAAACAUGUUUCCAAUCUUUGCAUAUUACGUGCAAGUGUGUCAGAAAUGUUGAUCGUAUUGGUCUAAUGUAAGCUGAGGUUUUUUUGCCCAUCAA